rnacentral:rRNA from 1 species
ACGGCGAGUGAACCGGGAAGAGCUCAAAUUUGAAAUCUGGCGUGCUCAGUGCGUCCGAGUUGUAAUCUAUAGAGUCGUUUUCCGUGCCGGACUGUGUCCAAGUCCCUUGGAACAGGGUAUCAAAGAGGGUGAUAAUCCCGUACUUGACACAAUGACCGGUGCUCUGUGAUACGUCUUCUACGAGUCGAGUUGUUUGGGAAUGCAGCUCAAAAUGGGUGGUGAGUUCCAUCUAAAGCUAAAUAUUGGCGAGAGACCGAUAGCGAACAAGUACCGUGAGGGAAAGAUGAAAAGCACUUUGGAAAGAGAGUUAAACAGUACGUGAAAUUGUUAAAAGGGAAACGAUUGAAGUCAGUCGUGACUGAGAGGCUCAGCCGGUUCUGCCGGUGUAUUCCCCUCAGUCGGGUCAACAUCAGUUUUGUUCGGUGGAUAAGGGCAGUUGGAAGGUGGCACCCUCGGGUGUGUUAUAGCCAGCUGUCGCAUACAUCGGAUGAGACUGAGGAAUGCAGCUCGCCUUUAUGGCCGGGGUUCGCCCACGUUCGAGCUUAGGAUGUUGACAUAAUGGCUUUAA